rnacentral:rRNA from 1 species
UACGUAGGUGGCAAGCGUUGUCCGGAAUUAUUGGGCGUAAAGCGCGCGCAGGCGGCCUCUUAAGUCUGAUGUGAAAGCCCCCCGGCUCAACCGGGGAGGGCCAUUGGAAACUGGGAGGCUUGAGUAUAGGAGAGAAGAGUGGAAUUCCACGUGUAGCGGUGAAAUGCGUAGAGAUGUGGAGGAACACCAGUGGCGAAGGCGACUCUUUGGCCUAUAACUGACGCUGAGGCGCGAAAGCGUGGGGGAGCAAACAGG